UACGUAGGGGGCUAGCGUUGUCCGGAAUCAUUGGGCGUAAAGAGCGUGUAGGCGGUCCGGUAAGUCCGCUGUGAAAGUCGGGGGCUCAACCCUCGAAUGCCGGUGGAUACUGUCGGGCUUGAGACCGGGAGAGGUGAGUGGAAUUCCCAGUGUAGCGGUGAAAUGCGUAGAUAUUGGGAGGAACACCAGUGGCGAAGGCGGCUCACUGGACCGGUACUGACGCUGAUGCGCGAAAGCGUGGGGAGCAAACAGG
rnacentral:rRNA from 1 species